AAGAUUGUUUUGCACAACUCCAUAAUGCAUCAGCUACACCAUGUCCAACACACAAUGGCAUAGAAGCCUCAAAAAUUGUAUUGACUAAUUCAGAAAACAAUGAAAAACAGACAUUGAAACCACUUGAAAAUCUAAAAUUCUCAACAACCUUAUGCACCUCUGCUUUCCUUUGGCCAUUCUUCAAGCAUCCACCAUUUCCAAAAAUUCCACCUUUUCCCUUAUUCAAAAAUCCAUUUAUACCUCCAAUUCCUCCAAUCCUCAAAAAACCACCUCUACCUCCAAUUCCAACCUACACUAAGCCACCUCUACCUUUAAUCCCACCAAUGUUGAAAAAAUCAUUCCCUGAGAUACCAAUCUUUCAAAAACCAUUGUUCCCACCUUCUCUUACUCAGCCAUAGCAGGGCUUUAAAAAGAAUAAUGCACAGACAUAUAGGCGGAUUCAAGAUUUGAAAUUAGUUAUUGUGCCUUUUAAUGUAUGUGCGUGUUUUAAAAUCGUUUAAUAAAACUUCUAUUUACAUAUAUAGUUCGAGUUGAAAGUAACAAGUUCACGUCUACUAUUGCAUAUGUGCUGAAAUCAAUGUCAAACUUUCUACUGUAUGAAAUAGUAUAAGUGAAGGAUGAUGGUGCUUGAGAAUGUGAAACCAUGAAAGAUAAAGGCAAAAUGGUUAAAAAAAGAGAAGGAUUAACAUAGUUAAUGGAGUGGUGAAUUAAUAGAAAUAUGUUACUUAUCUAGUUGUCUGUUCACGCAGAUUAUUAACAUUCAUAAGUAACCUAUAUAUUGGUUGUGGUGUUACUACUUCACCCUUAAUUAGAGGUCUUGGAUUUAAGUCUUGGGUAUAUAUAAAAUUAUAUAUCCCACAUGCCCCAACAAUACGCGAUACAAUAAUCAGAGGUCUUGAGUUCGAGUCUUGAGUAUGUAUUAGAUUCUGUUGAAAACGUCACUCCGAAUAACCCAUGCAGUGCACGAUAUAUAAAAAGCCUAGUAAACUGCCUUUUCUAAAAUUAAGAAUUUAUAAACUUAAAAUCCUAACCCAAACCCAACUUUUAUAUGAAUUAUGCCCCCGUUGUAAAAAUGGUUAUAUAUCCGUAAGGCAUAAUGCAUAAACAUGAUCAUUAACUUGGCAUCACUUGACAAUUAUGACUUUUAACUUCGAGUGUGCACAAGUAGGAACUUAAGCUUAUACUACUAUUGAACAAAUAAACACAUUAUUCCUAAUAUAUAUUUCAUCCCUUCACUUUUACUAGUCACUUAUUCCUAAUAUAUAUUUUUAUUUUUUUACUUAUCACUUUUGACAUAUCAAAAAAAGACAAUUAUAUUUUUCCAUGUUUUACCAUCAACAUUGAAUACUCUUUCUUCAAUUCAUUUUUCACGACUUAAUACUAAACAUCAUUCAACAAGGAUAGUUGGUAAAAUAUCUAUUUCAAUAAUUUGUUUCUUAAUUGGUGUGCCAAAUCAAGCCACAUAAAUAUGAGAUAACUUGUACUCCCGUAGUUCUUAUUUAGUUGUUGUCAAAGUAAAAAAGUCUCAUAUUGGUGAUUAAUGAGAUAAGUGGAGUCCUUAUAAGGCUUGACCGAUACUCCUUCUUUUAAGCUAAGUUUUGAGGUGUGAGUCAGACCAAUUACACAAUUUAACAUGAUAUCAUAGCAAAGUCUAUCUCACUGAUGUUGGGGCCCAAAACAAAAAUAAUCAAAAGUUACCCAAGAAAUGUGUACGCACCAGAUGCUAACCAUAGAUCAUAAGAUGGGUCCAAAAUUACCCACCCAAUCUAGUUCAAUUGGUUGGAUGAUAAACUGAUGAUUUGGGACGAAUCAUAUUAUAGUAGUGGAAUAUAAAUGCAAGUUUCUAUAUUCGUAGACAAGACAAGUUAUAUAGAGAUUAGUUAUAUAAGAAUUAUUAUGUGUUUGGUUCAUUGCACUAAAAUAAUAUAUAAUGCAUUAUAUCAUUUAGUAGAUCAUUUGAAGGAGGAUGAAGAAUAUAAUAUGCAUAUGCAUGAUGACGCAUAUAGUCCGUCUACAAGUACGAGUAUGUUGAAGUUAAUAGCAAGAAAAAUUAGUUGAGAAAUGUCCACUGAUUCACUGGGAGUGUGAGAAGACGAAUAGUUCUCAUUUCAUGAAAAUGCCAGCAUGAUAUACCUAUCUUUUUCUCUUUACUGGAUACUUCAUCUGUUUCACUUUAAGUGUCUUAGUUUGAUUGAACACGUAGUUUAAAGAAAUAAAAGAGAGACUUUCGGAUCUUGUUAUCUUAUAUUACUAGUUUCUGGACACGUGCUUUGCACGUGUGUUCAUAUGUUAGAAUAACUAAAAUGCAAUGGAAACAUAUAGUGUGUAAACAACAUGCAAUGAAUAAUAUAAUACAAAAAUUAUAAAUAAAUCUUUAAUAAUAUAAUCAUAAAACACCAAUAAGGGGCACAUUUUGAUGUUUCAAAUUAAUUCUUUUUAAGCAAUCUACUAUAACUUUUAAACUUUGGUUAAUAGUUAGCAAACUUUUAAUAAAGUCACAAAUGGCUAAUUUGAGCUCAAACAAGUAUUUAGACUUAUGACUUCAUAGAAAACUAAAUUAAGAUGUCUAAUAGAGACCGAAAAAACACAAAAAAAAUAGAGAAGGAAAAAAAUACAAUGUAUACAUUCUUCAUAAGACGUUGAUCAAUAAUAAUGUAGAUUAAAAAAUAAAUACAAAAUUAGUACAUAAUAUUUCGAUUUAUUAUUGACUCUUUCUCCCAUAUCCUAUUAAAUUCAAUAGUCUUCUUCAUGAUAUACGUCGAUAACAUAAACUAUUUGAACAUACAUCAAUUUGAAAAUGUCUCAGUUUUUAAAAAGUAGCUUAUCGAUUAUGAAAUUGAAAUCUAAAUAAAAAAUAAUAUUAAAAGAGAAGUAAACAUAAAUUGUAAAAAAAAAGAUAUGGAGCAAAAUUAUGGAUGAAUAAUCAUUAAAGCUACAACAAUCUCAAUAAGAAGAAUGAGUUACUCCAUCAGUAACCAUCAAUUUUUUGUACGUGUCCUUACAAUCCACAUUAAUAUUAGAAGUAGAAUAAUAUAUUGUGAUAAUCUAUGAGUUGAUAUAUAAUAUAAAUAAGAAAAAAAAUGAUACAUGAAAAAUACAAUAUAUAAAUAUAAGAUUCCAAAUAAAUUCAAGAAUUCAUAAAACAGCAAACCUGUUGAAAAAAUAGUCAUCUAAAGUGAUAAUGAUGAAAGUAGGAUACAAAAUAUCACUAUUAAAAUCUUAUAUAAUAUUAUGAUAAAUAAACAAAAAAAUAACAUAACCGGUACCUGAAAAUCGCCGAAAUAAUCUCAUCAAAAGGAGGUAAUUGUUGAACAAAAAAUAUUCCUCCAUUAGUUAGAGAUUUAUAUAAAAGAAGCUUACGAGCCUCACCAUUUAGUUUUUUUUAAAAAAAAAAUAUUUAUAGGAAUUAUAAAUGAAGACCAUAAUUUUACCUCUACAAUUGAUAUUAAGAUAAGAAAUUAAAGACUAUUGAUGUCAUUAACUCAUAACUGAGUAUUAUUAAUAAUUAAAAGAGAAGAUGAGAAGUUGAAGAAUUUGUAUAUUUAAUGAAAUAAUCAUCAUCUUACACAUGGGGAGAUGGAGGGUUAAUUUUUUUACUAACCAAUUUAAUAUAAUUUAAUUUAAUCAUAGUAAUUAUAGAUAGAGAAUAAAACAUUAAUCAAAUUAUUUAGACAUUUAAAAUCUCAAAAAGAGAAUAUAUAUAUAUAUAUAUAUAUAUAUAUAUAUAUAUAUAUAUAUAUAUAUAUAUAUAUAUAUAUAUAUAUAUAAUAGAAAAUAGGUAUUAUUAAGUUAGAUCUUUUAAUUAGGAAUUAACCUAAGGAAGUGAAAAAGUCUAUCAACAUUUUAUUUAAAAUGAAAUAAUUUAAUAUUUAAAUUAAAUAGUUAAAUAUUUUAUAAUAUUUUAAUUUAUAGUAAGGGUAAAAUCGUAAUUUAAGUUUUAACUUUUUUUGUUCCCACUUAUAAUAAUAUAUGAUAGACGUAUGAAAUACUUUAAAUUUGAUGAUUUAACUAGCUAUGUAAAAUGCUGGAAUUGAUAAACUUAUUAAAUAAAAAAGAGAUAUUGGUUUAGAAACAAACUAAAGUAAGAUAAUUAAAUUGAGACAAAUGAAAUACUUCCACACACAAAAAAGAAGCAAAUCAGGCACAACAAUAGAAAGAGUGUCAAAUAUGGUUCGAUUUGGAUCGAUUUUUAUUUGAAAAAAGAUCAAACUAAAUCAUCCAUGUCAAUUUAUAAAUACAAUUGAUUUUAAAGUAUUUGUUGAACACCCCAAAUGGAAAUUUAACAAAAAGUAGUCAAAAGUUCACAUGUAACUACUCUGAAUUUUAGCAAAAUUUACAUAAAUGAGAACCGCUAAGUAGGUUUAGAAAUAGAAAACAAACGAGGUUUGUAGUUGGAUGAUACUUCAUUGAAUGAAGUUAAUGACUUUUGAUCUAACAACUCGCCCAUAUUAGUUAUUUUUUUUUGAACUUUUGCUAGCUACAAACCUCUUCUAAACAUUCCAUAAGUCAAAAAUUUCAUGUGAAUGUGCUUAACUGUGUUGGUUGUAAGUGUAACUAAUAAAAAAUGUUAUCAUUUUUUGUACUAUAAAUACACCCUUUAGCAUCUCAAUCAAACAUACUCAACACAUCAAUUUUUUCUUUAACUUGACAUUUUUUGCAAAAGAGCUCAUUUGCCCUUAGCAUAGUGAUCCCAAUGGGGCUUCAUGAGUCCCUUUUUGGCAGAGUCUUCUCUGUUUCUUUGUUAUUAUUUGCAGUGAGCUUCUGCUAUGCUGAUGAUAAGACAGUUCAGGUUGUUGGAUUUGGGGAAUGCGCGGAUUGCAAAGAGAGUAACAUAAAGACCAUUCAUGCAUUUUUAGGUAUGUAAUCGUUAAAAUCAAAAAAACAAUCUCUUGCAGAAAUGUAAAAGAAAAAAAUUGCUUACAAUACACCUAAUGUGGUCUAGACAUUUCUUGAACUCUGUGCACAGUGAAAACUUUGUGCACCUGACUGCUUUUACAGUAGUGGUACCACUAGUUUGAAGCUUGUAAAACCCUGUAUUCUUCAUUUGAAAUCCUAAAUCUGACUCUGACUAUAACGAUUCUUUCUUUCUUUCUUUCAGGGCUUGGUGUUACCAUCAAUUGCAGGAAUGCAAAUGGAGAGAUAAAUACAAGAGGAGAGGGAAAACUAGACAAAGACGGAAAAUUCGUGGUGUUACUUCCUAAAGAGAUGGUGAAAGAGGGGAAAUUGAGAGAAGAUUGUUUUGCACAACUCCAUAAUGCAUCAGCUACACCAUGUCCAACACACAAUGGCAUAGAAGCCUCAAAAAUUGUAUUGACUAAUUCAGAAAACAAUGAAAAACAGACAUUGAAACCACUUGAAAAUCUAAAAUUCUCAACAACCUUAUGCACCUCUGCUUUCCUUUGGCCAUUCUUCAAGCAUCCACCAUUUCCAAAAAUUCCACCUUUUCCCUUAUUCAAAAAUCCAUUUAUACCUCCAAUUCCUCCAAUCCUCAAAAAACCACCUCUACCUCCAAUUCCAACCUACACUAAGCCACCUCUACCUUUAAUCCCACCAAUGUUGAAAAAAUCAUUCCCUGAGAUACCAAUCUUUCAAAAACCAUUGUUCCCACCUUCUCUUACUCAGCCAUAGCAGGGCUUUAAAAAGAAUAAUGCACAGACAUAUAGGCGGAUUCAAGAUUUGAAAUUAGUUGAUGUGCCUUUUAAUGUAUGUGUGUGUUUUAAAAUCGUUUAAUAAAACUUCUAUUUACAUAUAUAGUUCGAGUUGAAAGUAACAAGUCCACAUCUACUAUUGCAUAUGUGCUGAAAUCAAUGUCAAACUUUGUACUGCAUGAAAUAGUAUAAGUGAA
rnacentral:lncRNA from 1 species